rnacentral:rRNA from 1 species
ACGUAGGGUGCGAGCGUUAAUCGGAAUUACUGGGCGUAAAGGGUGCGCAGGCGGUAUCGUAAGUCAGAUGUGAAAUCCCCGGGCUUAACCUGGGAACUGCGUUUGAAACUGCGAUGCUAGAGUAUGUCAGAGGGGGGUGGAAUUCCACGUGUAGCAGUGAAAUGCGUAGAGAUGUGGAGGAACACCAAUGGCGAAGGCAGCCUUCUGGGCCAACACUGACGCUCAUGCACGAAAGCGUGGGGAGCAAACAGGA